CCCCGUCGGGCCGGGACCCUGCCACACCACGAGGCGUUGUCGGCGAGUCGGGUUGUUUGGGAAUGCAGCCCUAAUCGGGUGUUAAAUUCUGUCCAAGGCUAAAUACGGGCGAGAGACCGAUAGCGAACAAUUACCGCGAGGGAAAGAUGAAAAGGAAUUUGAGAAGAUAGUUAAAGAGUGCUUGAAAUUGCCGGGAGGGAAGCGGAUGGAGGCCGACGAUGCGUCUCGGUCGGAUGUGGAAUGGCUCAAGCUGGUCCGCCGCUCGACUCGAGGUGCGAACCAGCAUAGUCCGUUGCAUCGACACAAGCACGGGUGGAGUACUGCCUGUUGGUUUGCCGUUGUGGCGAUCAAGGAACGAAGCGUGUGCCCUUGGGGCGGGCCACUGUGCACCUACACGCUCGUGGUGUUGGUUGGCGGGCUUUCCAUUCAACCCGUCUUGAAACAUGGACCAAGGAGUCUAACAUGUGUGCGAGUCGAUGGGUUUGUAAACCUGCGAGAAAUAAGGAAACUGAUGGGUGAGAACCCCUCUCCAUGGGGUGCAUUGCCGACUGACCUUGAGCUUGUGCGAAGGUUUUGAGUGCGAGCACACCUGUUGGGACCCAAAAGAUGGUGAACUAUGCCUGAGCAAGGCGAAGCCAGAGGAAACUUUGGUGGAGGCCCGUAGCGAUAAUUAAGUGCAAAUCGUUCGUCUGACUUGGGUUCCAUGUGAACAACACUUGGGCAUGGGUUAGUCGAUCCUAAGAGAUGGGGAAGCCCUGUAUCAAGGGUGCACUAUGCAUGAGCAUUGAAAGGGAAUCAGGUUAAUAUUCCUAAACUGGGACAUGGUGACGAACGACAACGUUAGGAAAUCUGGAGACGUCGUCGGGGGCCCCGGGAAGAGUUAUCUUUUCUUUUUAACAACUUGCCCACCCUGAAAUCAUCUCAACCGGAGAUAGGGUCCAGCAGCUGGAAGAGCAUCAUACGUCUUGCGGUGUCCAGUGCACCCUCGACAGCCCUUGAAAAUCUAGAGGACCGAGUACC
rnacentral:ncRNA from 1 species